AACGCUUUGUCUUUAAUUGAUCUGACGAGCUUGCUCUGAUUUGAUUUUAUCUGACAAAGAGUGGCGAACGGGUGAGUAACACGUGGGUAACCUACCUCUUAGCAGGGGAUAACAUUUGGAAACAAGUGCUAAUACCGUAUAAUACCAACAACCGCAUGGUUGUUGGUUGAAAGAUGGUUCUGCUAUCACUAAGAGAUGGACCCGCGGUGCAUUAGCUAGUUGGUAAGGUAACGGCUUACCAAGGCAAUGAUGCAUAGCCGAGUUGAGAGACUGAUCGGCCACAAUGGGACUGAGACACGGCCCAUACUCCUACGGGAGGCAGCAGUAGGGAAUCUUCCACAAUGGGCGCAAGCCUGAUGGAGCAACGCCGCGUGUGUGAUGAAGGGUUUCGGCUCGUAAAACACUGUUAUAAGAGAAGAACGGCACUGAGAGUAACUGUUCAGUGUGUGACGGUAUCUUACCAGAAAGGAACGGCUAAAUACGUGCCAGCAGCCGCGGUAAUACGUAUGUUCCAAGCGUUAUCCGGAUUUAUUGGGCGUAAAGCGAGCGCAGA
rnacentral:rRNA from 1 species